UAUUAGGUUAGCAGUUAUUUGUUUAGUAGGCAGUUCCAGAACUUGACAAAACCCACCAACUUAUUAUUUUAAAAAAUCAAUUCUAUAACAAUGUCCAAGUUAACUGUUGUUGUAUUUGUGGUCACAUUGUUGGCGAUUGACUCGUUUGCGUGCAUUGAACAGGGAAAAGAUUGUACUACGGAUGGUGAAUCAUGUUGUGCUCCCUAUAAAUGCAGAGAAAAUCAUUUUAAAUAUUUGUCAUGUGGCUUGACCAAAGAUUCCUAUAAUCAAUUUAUUGGGGGAAUUUAUUAAUAACUGAAUUAUAGAGGUGACAUGUUUGAAGGCUAAGUCUACUUUUUAAUCUUUUUAUUUCAGAUAUAAUAAUAAUUAUUAAUAUUGUAAUGAUUAUCAUCUGAAUAAAAAUAAU